CGGACGGGUGAGUAACGCGUGGGAAUCUGCCUACUAGCGGGGGAUAGCCCGGAGAAAUCCGGAUUAAUACCGCAUACGCCCUAAGGGGGAAAGCUGGGGAUCUUCGGACCUGGCACUAGUAGAUGAGCCCGCGUUGGAUUAGCUUGUUGGUGGGGUAAUGGCCUACCAAGGCAACGAUCCAUAGCUGUUCUGAGAGGAAGAUCAGCCACACUGGGACUGAGACACGGCCCAG
rnacentral:rRNA from 1 species